CUGAAAUCCCUCUAGGAGCCGGUCAGCCAUCCUUUGGAACGUAGCGGGGGCAUUCUUCAUCCCAAAUGGCAUAACCUUAAACUGGUAUAGGCCAAAUGGGGUGACAAAUGCCGAUUUUGGGAUGGCCUCAGGCUCCAAGGGGAUUUGCCAAUAUCCCUUACACAAAUCAAUAGUGGUCAAAUAAUUCCCCCCAGCCAUGCGGUCAAGCAGCUCGUCCACUCGGGGCAUGGGGUAUGCGUC